rnacentral:rRNA from 1 species
CCUACGGGUGGCUGCAGUGGGGAAUAUUGGACAAUGGGCGCAAGCCUGAUCCAGCCACGCCGCGUGAGUGAUGAAGGCCUUCGGGUUGUAAAGCUCUGUGGGGAGGGGCGAAAACGGCCGGUAAGAAACGACCGGUCCUUGACGGUACCUCCUUAGCAAGCACCGGCUAACUCUGUGCCAGCAGCCGCGGUAAUACAGAGGGUGCGAACGUUGCUCGGAAUUACUGGGCGUAAAGCGCGUGUAGGCGGAUGGGUAAGUCAGAUGUGAAAUCCCCG